GUGGGGAAUAUUGGACAAUGGGCGCAAGCCUGAUCCAGCAAUGCCGCGUGCAGGAAGAAGGCCUUCGGGUUGUAAACUGCUUUUGUACGGAACGAAACGGCUCUGGUUAAUACCCGGGGCUAAUGACGGUACCGUAAGAAUAAGCACCGGCUAACUACGUGCCAGCAGCCGCGGUAAUACGUAGGGUGCAAGCGUUAAUCGGAAUUACUGGGCGUAAAGCGUGCGCAGGCGGUUUUGUAAGACAGGCGUGAAAUCCCCGGGCUCAACCUGGGAAUGGCGCUUGUGACUGCAAAGCUGGAGUGCGGCAGAGGGGGAUGGAAUUCCGCGUGUAGCAGUGAAAUGCGUAGAUAUGCGGAGGAACACCGAUGGCGAAGGCAAUCCCCUGGGCCUGCACUGACGCUCAUGCACGAAAGCGUGGGGAGCAAACAGGAUUAGAUACCCCUGUAGUCC
rnacentral:rRNA from 1 species